GAUGAACGCUGGCGGCGUGCUUAACACAUGCAAGUCGAACGAGAAAUGGAGACGGACACCUUCGGGCGGAAGGCUUCAUUUCGAGUGGCGGACGGGUGAGUAACGCGUGGGUAACCUGCCUCAUACAGGGGGAUAACAGUUGGAAACGACUGUUAAUACCGCAUAAGACCACAGCACCGCAUGGUGCGGGGGUAAAAACUCCGGUGUAUGAGAUGGAACCGCGUUCGAUUAGCCCGUUGGCGGGGUAACGGCCCACCAAAGCGACGAUCGAUAGCCGAUCUGAGAGGAUGACCGGCCACAUUGGGACUGAGACACGGCCCAAACUCCUACGGGAGGCAGCAGUGGGGAAUAUUGCACAAUGGGGGAAACCCUGAUGCAGCGACGCCGCGUGAGUGAAGAAGUACUUCGGUAUGUAAAGCUCUAUCAGCAGGGAAGAAAAUGACGGUACCUGAGUAAGAAGCCCCGGCUAACUACGUG
rnacentral:rRNA from 1 species